AUUGAACGCUGGCGGCAUGCCUUACACAUGCAAGUCGAACGGUAACAGGUCUUCGGAUGCUGACGAGUGGCGAACGGGUGAGUAAUACAUCGGAACGUGCCCGAUCGUGGGGGAUAACGGAGCGAAAGCUUUGCUAAUACCGCAUACGAUCUACGGAUGAAAGCAGGGGACCGCAAGGCCUUGCGCGGACGGAGCGGCCGAUGGCAGAUUAGGUAGUGGGUGGGAUAAAAGCUUACCAAGCCGACGAUCUGUAGCUGGUCUGAGAGGACGACCAGCCACACUGGGACUGAGACACGGCCCAGACUCCUACGGGAGGCAGCAGUGGGGAAUUUUGGACAAUGGGCGAAAGCCUGAUCCAGCCAUGCCGCGUGCAGGAUGAAGGCCUUCGGGUUGUAAACUGCUUUUGUACGGAACGAAAAGACUCUUUCUAAUAAAGAGGGUCCAUGACGGUACCGUAAGAAUAAGCACCGGCUAACUACGUGCCAGCAGCCGCAGUAAGAC
rnacentral:rRNA from 1 species